UUUCCGUAGGUGAACCUGCGGAAGGAUCAUUGUGGAAUUUUAUUUGAACCGUUGUGAAGUUGUAUAAAUACCUUUCGAAACCUUGGUUUUUGUUUCGCCGCUGUUUCGAUGGGUUCCAUUUGCUACCUUCAUCUCGCCAAAUUGGAAGUGAGAAGUCGAGUAGAAAUUAAAGAACGGUGCGGUUUGCACCAAGGACAAUUGUUGGAGUGCAUUGCCAUCAUUUUGAUGUGUUUAUUACUCUAUAGGUAUAUGAUUUCGAAUGACUCCUGGCAAUGGAUAUCUUGGCUCUC
rnacentral:misc_RNA from 1 species